UUUGGAUCUCCGCCGUGAAUCCCACUGUCUGCUCUCCCUUAUCGAUAUCGUCAAUUGUUCGGGAAGCUUCUAUUGAACAAAGUUAUCGAACGCAGAUCGAUCUUGAUUGUUUCACAGUUUCAACUGCAUCCCUCAAGCUGCCAGAUACUACGGUUGGGCUGAUAACAAGUACAAAAGGUUUUGCUUGCUCGUACUGUUUCUUCGAAGUGAUUUAUUUGUGAGAUCGUCUGUAUUCCAGGUUUUAUAUCGGUCUUGACGUUUUAGGGAUUUGGUUUAUCUUCGGCUUUGGGAAUCUGGUGAUUGAUUGGAAAGGUUGCAAGGUUUCGCUUACUACUACUGUUCCUGUUUGAAGUGAUUCAUUUCUUAGAAGAUCAGUG